rnacentral:rRNA from 1 species
AGUGAACGCUGGCGGUAGGCCUAACACAUGCAAGUCGAACGGCAGCACAGUAAGAGCUUGCUCUUACGGGUGGCGAGUGGCGGACGGGUGAGGAAUACAUCGCAAUCUACUUUUUCGUGGGGGAUAACGUAGGGAAACUUACGCUAAUACCGCAUACGACCUACGGGUGAAAGCAGGGGAUCUUCGGACCUUGCGCGAUUGAAUGAGCCGAUGUCGGAUUAGCUAGUUGGCGGGGUAAAGGCCCACCAAGGCGACGCUCCGUAGCUGGUCUGAGAGGAUGAUCAGCCACACUGGAACUGAGACACGGUCCAGACUCCUACGGGAGGCAGCAGUGGGGAAUAUUGGACAAUGGGCGCAAGCCUGAUCCAGCCAUACCGCGUGGGUGAAGAAGGCCUUCGGGUUGUAAAGCCCUUUUGUUGGGAAAGAAAAGCAGCAGGUUAAUACCCCGCUGUUCUGACGGUACCCAAAGAAUAAGCACCGGCUAACUUCGUG